AACGCUGGCGGCGUGCUUAACACAUGCAAGUCGAGCGAAGCACUUAUCAUUGACUCUUCGGAAGAUUUGAUAUUUGACUGAGCGGCGGACGGGUGAGUAACGCGUGGGUAACCUGCCUCAUACAGGGGAAUAACAGUUAGAAAUGGCUGCUAAUGCCACAUAAGCGCACAGGACCGCAUGGUCUGGUGUGAAAAACUGAGGUGGUAUGAGAUGGACCCGCGUCUGAUUAGGUAGAUGGUGGGGUAACGGCCUACCAAGCCGACGAUCAGAACCCGGCCUGAGAGGGUGAACGGCCACAUUGAGACUGAGACACGGCCCAGACUCCUACGGGAGGCAGCAGAUGGGGAAUAUUGCACAAUGGGGGAAACCCUGAUGCACCGACGCCGCGUGAAGGAAGAAGUAUCUCGGUAUGUAAACUUCUAUCAACAAGGAAGAAAAUGACGGUACCUGACUAACAAGCCCCGGCUAACUACGUGCCAGCAGCCGCGGUAAUACGUAGGGGGCAAGCGUUAUCCGGAUUUACUGGGUGUAAAGGGAGCGUAGACGGAAGAGCAAGUCUGAUGUGAAAGGCUGGGGCUUAACCCCAGGACUGCAUUGGAAACUGUUUUUCUAGAGUGCCGGAGAGGUAAGCGGAAUUCCUAGUGUAGCGAUGAAAUGCGUAGAUAUUAGGAGGCACAGCAGUGGCGAAGUCUGCUUACUGGACGGUAACUGACGUUGAGACUCGAAAGCGAGGAGAGCAAACAGGAUUAGAUACUAUGGUAGUCCACGCCGUAAACGAUGGAUACUAGGUGUCGGGGUGCAAAGCAGUUCGGUGACGCAGCAAACGCAAUAAGUAUUCCACCUGGGGAGUACGUUCGCAAGAAUGAAACUCAAAGGAAUUGACGGGGACCCGCACAAGCGAGUGGAGCAUGUGGUUUAAUUCGAAGCAACGCGAAGAACCUUACCAAGUCUUGACAUCUGCCUGACCGUUCAUUAACCGGAGCUUUCCUUCGGGACAGGCAAGACAGGUGGUGCAUGGUUGUCGUCAGCUCGUGUCGUGAGAUGUUGGGUUAAGUCCCGCAACGAGCGCAACCCCUAUCCUUAGUAGCCAGCAGUCCGGCUGGGCACUCUAGGGAGACUGCCGGGGAUAUCCCGGAGGAAGGCGGGGACGACGUCAAAUCAUCAUGCCCCUUAUGAUUUGGGCUACACACGUGCUACAAUGGGGUAAACAAAGGGAAGCGAAGCGGUGACGGUUAGCAAAUCUCAAAAAUAACGUCCCAGUUCGGACCGCAGUGUGCAACUCGACUGCAAGAAGCGGGAAUCGCUAGUAAUCGCGAAUCAGAAUGUCGCGGUGAAUACGUUCCCGGGUCUUGUACACACCGCCCGUCACCCCAUGGGAGUCAGUAACGCCCGAAGUCAGUGACCCACCCUUAUGGAGGGAGCUGCCGAAGGCGGGACCGAUAACUGGGGUG
rnacentral:rRNA from 1 species